rnacentral:lncRNA from 1 species
CAGUGCCAGAAAUAUAGUCUCUCAUUUAGUCCUGAUACUAGCUCUUGCUCCUCUUAGAGAACUGUGUUCAAUUUGUCCCAGCAAGGGAUGGGGUCUAUCUCUGACAUUAUAGAUGUCAAUCAUCACCAGGACCUUUUAGCCUUCCCAGCUCCUUCUCCUGCUCCAAAAUUGAGCACCCAGCAGUCACUACAUGGCAGUACUGAUGCUCUAGCCUCUCAUAAUGCAUCACCCGUGGUGCGUGGCCAGACCAAACCCGAUUACACUCCAGUGGUUAAAAGUCCAGGUCUAAUUAGAGUUCCAGGGAAUCAAGCCAUUGUAUUAUUAAUGAUUCUCUGGCAAUGUUCUGAUUAAAACAGCAAUUUUAAUAAGCACAGCUCAAUGCUAAGUGUUCACUGAGCUCCUAAUUACAUCAGUUAUGACUCCAAAAUUAUUUAAAAUUCUAUUUUUUUUCCAACUAGACAUGGCAUGCACCAGUAAAGUACUCAGGUGAUUUGGUGAUUAUUUUCUGUAAUUAAUUUCCUAAGUACUUAGU